rnacentral:rRNA from 1 species
GACAGAGGGUGCAAACGUUGCUCGGAAUUACUGGGCGUAAAGCGCGUGUAGGUGGUCACGCAAGUCAGGUGUGAAAGCCCAGGGCUCAACCCUGGAAGUGCACAUGAUACUACGUGGCUGGAGUACUGAAGAGGAGAGCAGAAUUCCCGGUGUAGAGGUGAAAUUCGUAGAUAUCGGGAGGAACACCAGUGGCGAAGGCGGCUCUCUGGGCAGAUACUGACACUGAGACGCGAAAGCGUGGGUAGCAAACAGG